rnacentral:misc_RNA from 1 species
UCGAAUUAAAAUCUAGGGAUUGGUUGUAGCUGGCUUCCCUCGGGGGGCACUUGUGCACGCCGUCUCUAUUUUUUUUCAUUCAUCCACACACCCCUUGUGCACUUGUGAGAUGGAAGGGGGGAGCCUUCGCGGGCCCCUUCAUCCGUCUACUUGUCAUAUACAAACCCAAUUUAAUUUAAAUCGAAUGUAAUUGAUGUAACGCAUCAUUUAAAC